GACGAACGCUGGCGGCGUGCCUAAUACAUGCAAGUCGAACGCUGAAGGAGGAGCUUGCUUCUCUGGAUGAGUUGCGAACGGGUGAGUAACGCGUAGGUAACCUGCCUGGUAGCGGGGGAUAACUAUUGGAAACGAUAGCUAAUACCGCAUAAUAGUAGAUGUUGCAUGACAUUUGCUUAAAAGGUGCACUUGCAUCACUACCAGAUGGACCUGCGUUGUAUUAGCUAGUUGGUGGGGUAACGGCUCACCAAGGCGACGAUACAUAGCCGACCUGAGAGGGUGAGCGGCCACACUGGGACUGAGACACGGCCCAGACUCCUACGGGAGGCAGCAGUAGGGAAUCUUCGGCAAUGGACGGAAGUCUGACCGAGCAACGCCGCGUGAGUGAAGAAGGGUGUCGGAUCGUAAAGCUCUGUUGUAAGAGAAGAACGAGUGUGAGAGUGGAAAGUUCACACUGUGACGGUAUCUUACCAGAAAGGGACGGCUAACUACGUG
rnacentral:rRNA from 1 species